rnacentral:rRNA from 1 species
CCUACGGUAGACAGCAGUGAGGAAUAUUUGUCAAUGGCCGAGAGGCUGAACCAGCCAAGUCGCGUGCGGGAAGACGGCCCUACGGGUUGUACACCUCUUUUGUCGGGGAGCAAAGCGAGUCACGUGUGACUCAUUGAGAGUACCCGAAGAAAAAGCAUCGGCUGACUCCGUGCCAGCCGCAGCGGUAAUACGGAGGAUGCGAGCGUUAUCCGGAUUUAUUGGGUUUAAAGGGUGCGCAGGCGGAGUUGCAAGUCAGCGGUCAAAUUGCGGGGCUCAACCCCGUACUGCCGUUGAAACUGCAUCCCUUGAGUGCGCGAGAAGUAUGCGGAAUGCGUGGUGUAGCGGUGAAAUGCAUAGAUAUCACGCAGAA